rnacentral:rRNA from 1 species
UACAGAGGGGGCAAGCGUUGUUCGGAAUUACUGGGCGUAAAGGGCGCGUAGGCGGCCUGCUAAGUCGAACGUGAAAUCCCUGGGCUCAACCCAGGAACUGCGUCCGAUACUGGUUGGCUUGAAUCCGGGAGAGGGAUGUGGAAUUCCAGGUGUAGCGGUGAAAUGCGUAGAUAUCUGGAGGAACACCGGUGGCGAAGGCGGCAACCUGGACCGGUAUUGACGCUGAGGCGCGAAAGCCAGGGGAGCAAACGGG